UCAUGAGUUUGACUCUGGCUCUGAAUGAACGCGAGCAAAACGUCUUGACACAUGCAAAUUUAAUAAAUAUAAAUUUUAUUUAUUGAGUGUAUCGGUGAGUAAGAUCAAAAAAUCCUAAA
rnacentral:rRNA from 1 species